CCUACGGGAGGCUGCAGUGGGGAAUAUUGGGCAAUGGGCGCAAGCCUGACCCAGCAACGCCGCGUGAAGGAAGAAGGCUUUCGGGUUGUAAACUUCUUUUAAGGGGGAAGAGCAGAAGACGGUACCCCUUGAAUAAGCCACGGCUAACUACGUGCCAGCAGCCGCGGUAAUACGUAGGUGGCAAGCGUUGUCCGGAUUUACUGGGUGUAAAGGGCGUGCAGCCGGAGAGACAAGUCAGAUGUGAAAUCCACGGGCUCAACCCGUGAACUGCAUUUGAAACUGUUUCCCUUGAGUGUCGGAGAGGUAAUCGGAAUUCCUUGUGUAGCGGUGAAAUGCGUAGAUAGAAGGAAGAACACCAGGGGCGAAGGCGGAUUACUGGACGAGAACUGACGGUGAGGCGCGAAAGCGUGGGGAGCAAACAGGAUUAGAUACCCGGGUAGUC
rnacentral:rRNA from 1 species